rnacentral:rRNA from 1 species
UACAGAGGGGGCAAGCGUUAUUCGGAAUUAUUGGGCGUAAAGAGCGUGUAGGCGGCCAGGUAGGUCCGUUGUGAAAACUCGAGGCUCAACCUCGAGACGUCGGCGGAAACCCUCUGGCUAGAGUCCGGAAGAGGAGAGUGGAAUUCCUGGUGUAGCGGUGAAAUGCGCAGAUAUCAGGAAGAACACCCGUGGCGAAGGCGGCUCUCUGGGACGGUACUGACGCUGAGACGCGAAAGCGUGGGGAGCAAACAGG